CAACAAGUAACAGUGCCGCCAGAAGAAGUUACGGCAACCGAUAAGGCUCAUUUGGAGCCUUUCAGAAGUGGCGUUUAGUUAACAGUUAUUGCUUUGAUGGAGGGCCAUAACAGGAUUGCUGUGGAGGAGUAAUAAACUGUCCCGGAGGUCCAUUACCUUAAUGAAAACACUGU